UGGCGAACGGGUGAGUAACACGUGGGUGAUCUGCCCUGCACUUCGGGAUAAGCCUGGGAAACUGGGUCUAAUACCGGAUAGGAGCCAUUUUUAGUGUGAUGGUUGGAAAGUUUUUCGGUGUAGGAUGAGCUCGCUGCCUAUCAGCUUGUUGGUUGGGUAAUGGCCUACCAAGGCGGCGACGGGUAGCCGGCCUGAGAGGGUGGACGGCCACAUUGGGACUGAGAUACGGCCCAG
rnacentral:rRNA from 1 species